GGCCAAAAGUGUGGCAGCAAAGCAAAGCGCCCAGUUACCUGCUGCACAUAUAUACACCAUGGCUGAGUCUGCUACCCCCGUCAAGCUUUUUGGCAAGUGGUCCCUUGAGGACGUCGAAGUCAGUGAUCUGGC
rnacentral:ribozyme from 1 species